AGAGUUUGAUCCUGGCUCAGGACGAACGCUGGCGGCGUGCUUAACACAUGCAAGUCGAACGAGAAUCUACUGAAAGAGUUUUCGGACAAUGGAUGUAGAGGAAAGUGGCGGACGGGUGAGUAACGCGUGAGGAACCUGCCUUGAAGAGGGGGACAACAGUUGGAAACGACUGCUAAUACCGCAUGAUGCAUAGGGGUCGCAUGAUCUUUAUGCCAAAGAUUUAUCGCUUCAAGAUGGCCUCGCGUCUGAUUAGCUAGUUGGCGGGGUAACGGCCCACCAAGGCGACGAUCAGUAGCCGGACUGAGAGGUUGAACGGCCACAUUGGGACUGAGAUACGGCCCAGACUCCUACGGGAGGCAGCAGUGGGGAAUAUUGGGCAAUGGGCGCAAGCCUGACCCAGCAACGCCGCGUGAAGGAAGAAGGCUCUCGGGUUGUAAACUUCUUUUAAGAGGGAAGAGCAGAAGACGGACUCUAGAAUAAGCCGGCUAACUACGUGCCAGCAGCCGCGGUAAUACGUAGGUGGCAAGCGUUGUCCGGAUUUACUGGGUAAAGGGCGUGCACGGUCUGCAAGUCAGAUGUGAAAUCAUGGCUCAACCCAUGAACUGCAUUUGAAACUGUAGAUCUUGAGUGUCGGAGGGGCAAUCGGAUUCCUAGUGUAGCGGUGAAAUGCGUAGAUAUUAGGAGGAACCCAGUGGCGAAGGCGGAUUGCUGGACGAUAACUGACGGUGAGGCGCGAAAGUGUGGGGAGCAAACAGGAUUAGAUACCCUGGUAGUCCACACUGUAAACGAUGAAUACUAGGUGUGCGGGGACUGACCCCCUGCGUGCCGCAGUAAACACAAUAAGUAUUCCACCUGGGGAGUACGAUCGCAAGGUUGAAACUCAAAGGAAUUGACGGGGGCCCGCACAAGCGGUGGAUUAUGUGGUUUAAUUCGAAGCAACGCGAAGAACCUUACCAGGGUUUGACAUCCUGCUAACGAAGUAGAGAUACAUUAGGUGCCCUUCGGGGAAAGCAGAGACAGGUGGUGCAUGGUUGUCGUCAGCUCGUGUCGUGAGAUGUUGGGUUAAGUCCCGCAACGAGCGCAACCCCUAUUGUUAGUUGCUACGCAAGAGCACUCUAGCGAGACUGCCGUUGACAAAACGGAGGAAGGUGGGGACGACGUCAAAUCAUCAUGCCCCUUAUAUCCUGGGCUACACACGUAAUACAAUGGCGGUCAACAGAGGGAAGCAAAGCCGCGAGGCAGAGCAAACCCCCAAAAGCCGUCCCAGUUCGGAUUGUAGGCUGCAACUCGCCUGCAUGAAGUCGGAAUCGCUAGUAAUCGCGGAUCAGCAUGCCGCGGUGAAUACGUUCCCGGGCCUUGCACACACCGCCCGUC
rnacentral:rRNA from 1 species